UUUUUCUUGCACGAAUUCUGCGCUGUCGAAAGUCGAAUUUUGUACUCCGUCGAAUUGGAAUGGGCCACAGGAACAUGACGCCAACGAAGAGCCAAAAGAAGCGCAGGAGGAAUUUAAAUUAUUUUGAAAGGGCCCUAGUGCCUGUAGAAGAUCCAGAGAUAAUUUAACCAUCACGAACAGACACCUCAUCUGAACUUCUUUCCCUUUGUGCCCCGAUCUUAGAACCGUCGCCCGACGAGUUUUGUCUGUAGGGCGUCGUUUUGACCAUCAGAAACCAGAGGAACCCUGAAACUAUGCACGGUAGAUCCGACGAUUACCCACCCAGAACGAGGCGAAACGGGUGCCGGAACAUCUCUUCGAUGUAGAUAAUGGCACCAGAGUUGGACGAUGACCCUACCUUUACACCCGAACCUCCCAUUAGUAUGAACUUUUUGGAUUUAUACGAUCCCGAUCUGCCGUCGUCAUCGGAUAUUUGGAAGAAUCCGUCAGAAGCGGAAAGGCCUCCACCCUCAAAAGCAAUGGAAUGCCUGAUGUCCAAGGCAUCUUCCUCAAAAGUAGUUGAACCCCAAGAAAACAGUUCUGUGAAGGGGCUUUUCGACUGGGUUCUGUAGAUCAUCUUUACAAAUGCGACGAUGCUGAAUGUUAGCAUUAUACCACUUGCUGUGGACAGCCUUACGUACUCCUCCAUACCGCUGUAUGGUUUGUCUAGCCCC